rnacentral:rRNA from 1 species
UACCAGCUCUCCGAGUGGUAGGGAUGAUUAUUGGGCUUAAAGCGUCCGUAGCCGGCUUAGCAAGUCUCCUGUUAAAUUCAGCGACCUAAUCGUUGAGCCGCGGGAGAUACUACUAGGCUAGGAGGCGGGAGAGGUCAACGGUACUUCCGGGGUAGGGGUGAAAUCCUAUAAUCCCGGGAGGACCACCAGUGGCGAAGGCUGUUGACUAGAACGCGCUCGACGGUGAGGGACGAAAGCUGGGGGAGCGAACCGGAUUAGAUACCCGGGUAGUCCCAGCUGUAAACGAUGCGAGCUAGGUGUUGGGGUGGCUACGUGCCACUUCAGUGCCGCAGGGAAGCCAUUAAGCCUGCCGCCUGGGGAGUACGGCCGCAAGGCUGAAACUUAAAGGAAUUGGCGGGGGAGCACCACAAGGGGUGAAGCUUGCGGUUU